CUGGGCUGCACCAGCAGGUUGCAGGCAGGCCUCUGACUUCUCUGGGGCUUUGGGACAGCAGCAUGGGGCAGGACUAAGGUGGUUAGGUGUGAGAAUGGAGGUCUGGACAGACACCAGGCUGCUCAUUGCCACCAGAAGUUUGGCUUUUCCCUGAUCUCUCCCAUCCUGUGCCCCUCUGGGCUUCUGUAGUUUCUCUCAUAAGAUCUGCCAUGGUCCCCUUGCUCACAGAGUCCCCUGAAGAGCUGCCUGUCCUAAUACAGACCUAGGCUGGAGUGCAGAGCAGCCUCAAGGAACCUCUCCUAGCGACAGCUAGACAGCUACAGAGGACAGCGCAGGGUCUUGCCUUGACUUCCACCUGCUCCCUCAUCCUUGGCAUCCCCUUCAAGGCUGAGCUGACAUCACUCAGGGCUACUUGCUUCUCAACCAAGAAAGUACCAUCCUUUUGGGCUUACUCCACCUGACAAGGGUUUGGGCCAAGAUCAACAAUGUGUUGCAGUUGAAGCCUGCCAAACGUGACACUCAAAUGCCCAACAAAUAUCCUGUUCCUUGUGCACCUCUGACCCCAGAGUCUGCCCAGAGCCUGCCUGACAUGAGGAAGAUACGGAGAUGUUUUAGGAGGCAAGGUGGGCCACUCUAAAGAUACGGCUAUGUGCCUCUUGCUAUAGGAUUAAAGGAGCCUACACAUUCUCCUCCUGCAAGGAAGGCAUCAUCAAAGCACCUUGUAGGAUGUGUGGAUUGAGGCUACAGAUUCAAGACAGACACCAUUAGUGGCUCUGUCCUAGCUUUCCAUGCUGGUGUUCCUGGGGGCUCCGUGAUUUCUCUGGCUGACAUCAAGAGAGCAGGAAAACUACUCAAGGCAUGUGCUGAAAGAAUCAGCGGCCAUGCUGUUGGGAUAGUGCCUUUCCCUGUUUUCUUUCUCUGUUCUAGCUUUCAUUUCUCCUAGGCCUACAUUUUCUUUCCUGGUCACCCACUCUCCCCCAACUCUGUCCUCCUUCCCUCUUUUCUCAGGAAGGAAAGCUGCUUCAUGUCCACAAUGCCCCUCUGCUGUCCCUAAAGUUCUGUUCUGGAAAUGAGCCCUCCUGUAGCAUUAUGACAUCACUGUGCAUUAGCUAGUGGCUGCCCAUGUGGGCUGGGCCCUUGCCCUACUAGGAGCCGUGACAGAGUUACCUAUUGGGCCCUACACCUUCAGGGCAACUCCCAGAGCAUGGAUCCCUC
rnacentral:lncRNA from 1 species